UUUCACUCUGAAUGGCAGGUGCUGUGGGAUGGAACUUCCUACACGUAUUAAGAUGUUCUGCUACCAGUUGAGAUUUGUGCUCAAUCUGACUGCAAAGGCAGAUGGAUUCUUUGAGGAGAUAGCUGGCGAUGUUAUCGAAUGAAUGUAUCGAGGAUGAUCCCAAAAAAUAUGAAAGAGAUUCUCUGUCUUAGGACUUCCAUAAAACCAGAAGUCAGACCAAUGCCUGCUGGGCUGCAGAUACACCAACUCUUCACUGCUGGCCAUAAGAUUCAGCUCCUGAGAGUGUCGGUACAGAGGUGUGUGUUGCUAUCUUCUCUUCUUUCCAGAGCAGAAGUCACUUUGGAGCAUCAUCUGUCCCUACCAGGGAUGCUUGCAGGGUGUGUCAGAUAAGGAAGGACAUGCUUGGGGGGAUACCUGCUGAGUGAGGUGGGUGAAUGGGAUGGAUCCACAGGACAAUGUGCAUGUGGGGCAUGAAAUGCUAGCUAGUUAGAAAUGAACUGUUCACAAUGAUUCCCUCAAGUGUUCAGCUAGCUAGGCUGGAAGUGAGGAGUAGAAAUGAUUCUUGCCAGUUUUUUUUUCUUGGACAAGUGUAAAGAUCCCUCCACCUCCAGCACAUGUUCUGAGAUUAAUUAAUAAAUUUCCUUUAUGUAUACCUCUGACACUUUUCAAACUGCUGCUUCUAUGCUUAUCUUGAUGAAGUUAGUUAUUACAUUGGUUCUUUAAGGGCAGGGAAUCAUUUACCUCUUGCCCUCUGCUUCUCCCAGAGUUAAGCCUACUGAUUUUUAAAGCACUUGGGAUUAGGUCUCACUGAUUGUAAACACUCUGGAAGUUAACUCCCACCACUUUUUAAAGUCAAAUGUUAGGGGCACCUGGGUGGCUAAGCGGUUGAGUGUCUUCCUUUGGAUCAGGUCAUGAUCCCAGAGUUCUGGGAUGGAGUCCUGCAUUGGACUCCCCACAGGGAGCCUGCUUCUCCCUCUGCCUGUGUCUCUGCCUCUCUCAGUGUCUCUCAUGAAUAAAUAAACAAAAAUUUAAAAAAAUAAAGUCAAUGUUAGGGGAACUCAUCCUCUCAGUGCAGGUCCUCUCUGCCUGAGAUGACUAGUGUGAGUCUGAUCCUUUUUCCUUCUCCAUGCUUAUGGUAUCCUGCCUGCUUUCGGUUAGUUUCGCUGGUUAUUUAGUUCUCAACCAUGUCUCUGCCCCUCUUAUACUUUUCAGCGUGGCCUUCUUCCUACAAUUAACUGUGGGAUGCCUAUUUUGCCAGUAUUUGGGUUGUUUUCAGAGUUAGUUACACUGAUGUAGCUAUUAUCUCAGUAUAUUUGUGGGAUGAGGUGAACUCAAGAUCCUCCUACCUUGUCAUCUUUCCAGAUGUCUUUAAUUAGAUAUGGUUUUAAAUUUAUCCUUAACUCCAUAUUUUGAUUGGAUCCUUAGUGUGAUGAAAUGAAUCAUUAGGAGCCAGAGCUGUGUUCAAGUUUUUGUCCUGACACAAACUGUACAGUCUUAGUAGACAGCUAAUCUCCACAAGAUGGGAAUUUUAAAAAAUUGGGAUAAAAUCAAUACUUAGUUGAAUGAUUAUUGUGUGGACUAGAAAUAAUAUAUGUAAAUUGCUUUGCACAAUUCCUAAU
rnacentral:lncRNA from 1 species